rnacentral:rRNA from 1 species
AUUGAACGCUGGCGGCAUGCUUUACACAUGCAAGUCGAACGGUAACAGGUUAAGCUGACGAGUGGCGAACGGGUGAGUAAUGCAUCGGAACGUGCCCGGUCGGGGGGGAUAACGCAGCGAAAGCUGCGCUAAUACCGCAUACGAUCUGAGGAUGAAAGCGGGGGAGGGGAAGGCCUGGCGCGAUCGGGGCGGCCGAUGCCAGGUUGGGUAGUUGGGGGGGUAAAGGGUCGGCAAGCCAACGAUCUGUAGCCGAGCUGGGCGGAGGACCAGCCACCUGGGGGCUGAGACAGCGCCCAGACGCCUACGGGAGGGAGCAGUGGGGAAUUGUGGACAAUGGGCGAAAGCCUGUUCCAGCAAUGGCGAGUGCAGGACGGAGGCCUUCGGUUUGGAAACUGCUUUUGUACGGAGCGAAACUGUCUCCUCUAAUACGGGGGGCUCAUGACGGUACCGUAAGAAGAAGCACCGGCUAACUACGUGCCAGCCGCCGCGGUAA